AUGAAUCUCAUCAGUUGGAACUGCCGGGGGGCGGGGAACUCCCGGACAGUUCGUGAAAUUGCGACGAUUUCCCAGUCGCAUUUCCCCAUGUUGAUCUUCCUCUGCGAGACUAGGCAAAAAGCUACAAGAAUGAGGAGGAUACGAGCUCGUCUUGGACUGAAAGGUUUUGAGGGUGUCGAUAGUAAUGGUUUGAGUGGUGGUCUAGCACUCUUUUGGCAUGAAUCA
rnacentral:rRNA from 1 species